rnacentral:misc_RNA from 1 species
AGUACCUGCACUGAUUCACCAGUCAGAACUGUCAUGGGAUGCAACUUUAGAUCUGUCAUCGUUUUAUAAAAUUGAUCAGAUAAUCGAGGCAAAAGUUCAUCAACUGGAUUAUGCUCUUGAGCGCAUCUCCUUGUCACUAAGAGAAGUUACGCCAGACCCACUGAUGGAGGCUCUGGAAUCUGUUGUUGGUGAUCAUACAUCUAU